CUCCCUGAAAUGCAGGAAUCUUGCCCACAGCUGUCCCUGGGCGGGCUUGAACCAGCAUCCUUCUGGUUAACAGCCAGAAGCACUGACCCAUUGUUCCCCAAGGUGACAACACAUUCCUGCUGUAGUUAUAGUACAGCACACAUAGCAGCACCGUGCUAUGCUUGUUUACUCCUGAGUAAGCUCCAUGCUCCCAAAUAGCCAUGCUUUAAGAAUGAAACUUUAUUUUAGACAGCAGCUGUUCAUCUUAUUUGUGGCAUCGCACAUUCUCUGCCAUGUCUGCCAAAGAAACCCAGGGAUGGUAUCACAGAGCUUAUACCCUUUUGACAUGGCCACAGGUGUGGUCUAUUGGGCUCUUCUGUCACUGUAAAGGUAAAGGUAAAGGGACCCCUGACCAUUAGGUCCAGUCGUGACCGACUCUGGGGUUGCAGUGCUUAUCUUGCUUUAUUGGCCGAGGGAGCCGGCUUACAGCUUCCGGGUCAUGUGGCCAGCAUGACUAAACCGCUUCUGGCGAACCAGAGGAGCGCACAGAAACGCCGUUUACCUUCCCGCCGGAGCGGUACCUAUUUAUCUACUUGCACUUGACAUGCCUUUGAACUGCUAGGUUGGCAGGAGCAGGGACCGAGCAACGGGAGCUCACCCCGUUGUGGGGAUUCGAACUGCCGACCUUCUGAUCGGCAAGUCCUAGGCUCUGUGGUUUAACCCACAACGCCACCCGCGUCCCUCUUCUGUCACUGUAUUUGAACUGAAAGCGUGCCAUAGAAUGUCCCACCCAUGGUAGUAGACUAUGAGAUGUUGCAACAACAGGAAGAGGGCUAUCGACUUUAUUCCUCACUUGUGGGUCUUCCAGAGACAUCUGAUUUGCCAUUGUAGGAAACUAGAUGCUGGACCUUUUGCCCGAUCCAGCAGGUUUCUCCUCAAUGCGCUUUCAGUGACGCUCACCCUCCGGUGAUUAGCAUUCUGUAAAUUUCCAAAGAACUCUGAUGUGCAGGAGAAUGUGGUUAUUGGAAACACUCUGCCCCUUCGCCUUCACUUUCUUGGUUAAGUUCACAAAGGACUUGCAUGACCUGGAGAACUUUAUCCCUGUCUUUCAUCUAUUAACUUGUGCUUUACAUGUGUUGAAGCAGUCAAACAGAUGGCACGAUGCAUCUGAUCAGGCAGAGGGAAGACCAUCGCAAACCCAAACGGCAUUUUCAGUUUCUCCCACUAGAUGGCUUCAGCAAGCCACGGUUUUUUGGGAAGCGAUUUUAUAGCCUCCCUCCUAAGUGGCUUUAGCAAUAGGAAGAUGAUAUACGUGACCAACAUCUUAACGAGGCACACACUUGACUCUUCCGCCAUCCGACAGUAACCCUAGGAAAUGGAUCCUUUCCUAUUUGAACCAGCAAAGAUGUAGUCCAUGGGUAGGCAAACUAAGGCCUGGGGGCUGGAUCCGGCCCAUGGAUGGUCUGGGAAUCAGCGUGUUUACGAGUAGAAUGUGUCAUUUUAUUUAAAAUGCAUCUCUGGGUUAUUUGUGGGGCAAAGGAAUUCGUUCAUCCCCCCCCCAAAAAAAUAGUCUGGCCCCCCACAAGGUCUGAGGGACAGUUGACCGGCUCCCUGCUGAAAAAGUUUGCUGACCCCUGUAGUCAGAGUGAAUUUGGGACAGAUUAGGUUUCUUUCUGCACAGUUCCUACUUCCUUGCAUCUAGUCAAGAAAACAACACUCCUCUAGUAUAGCAAUCCAACACUUUGUUCUUGUUGCUGCUUAAUGUUAAAUAAAACCACUUUAAAUCUGGGUACAAAUGAGAAACAACAUCUGGAUGCCUGCUCCAAUCAUGUACAAAAGAGCGGCUGGGGUGUACAUGUCUGAUUUUAAAAGCAAAAGGCAUGAGGAAUGCCAAAAUCAUGCCUGGAGAUUAUUUUCCUUUAAACUGGACCCCAGCCUGAGCAAUGAGCAGAGAAUGUAGCUUAGGAGCAGAGCACAUGCGUUGCAGGGGGGUCCUGGAAACCUCCAGGUUAAAAUGUGCCGGAAAGAGCUGUGGCAGCACCAGACUUAGGGCACAGGGUGCCGAGCUGAGAUGCAAAAUAAAAAAUAGCUACAUUUAUACAGGUACCUACUCAAUUACAGACAUCCCCUCAUUUGCACAUGUUCAAUACUGUAUGUGCACGACCACGCAUAUGUGUAUUGCAUCAAACCUGGAAUUGACCCAAUGGAAUGUGGGUUAGAACGGGGUGUUUGCAGGUUUUUCCAACUGUGUUUCAAAUAUCUGUGAUUUCACUUAAACACGCAGUGCUUUAAAAUGUAACUCCUACAUAAAUUGGAAGUUGUCUGUAUUGUGAAAAUAAGAAAUAUGGGGGGAGGGGUGGCACCAAAUUUUGUCCUUGCUCAGGGAGCCAGAUUACCAAAAUUGGAAGAUACCUCUGCAUGAUGCCCUGGGAAACCACUGCCAGUAAGGACAAUUGUGGAACCUUCAAUGUGGGGUUCCCUAGGGCUCAAUCCUAUCCCGUAGGUUGUUUAACAUCUACAUGAAACCACUGGGUGGGGUUAUCCAGAGGUUUGGAGUACAUGGUCAGCAGUAUGCUGAUGACACUUGGCUCUAUUUCUGCUUUACAUCUGCAGGUGAGGCAGUGGAAGCGCUGGACCAGUGUCUUGCCUUGGAAAUGGACUGGAUGGGAGCCAACAAACUGAAACUCAAUCCAGAUAAGACUGAAGCCCCAUUCCUGGAUGGUUCCCUUGACUGGAUGGGAGGCAGAUUGCCUGCUCUUGAUGGGGUUACACUUCUUCUGAAGGAGCAGGUUCGUAGCUUGCAGGUACUCCUGGAUCCUUUGCUGUUGCUCAAAGCUCAGGCGGCCUCAGUGGCCUGGAGUGCCUUUCAUUAGCUUCGGCUGGUGGCCCAGCUGCGCCCCUUUCUGGACAGGGAUAGCCUAACUUUUGUUGUCUAUGCUCUGGUAACCUCAAGGUUAGAUUACUGCAGUGCAUUAUACGUAGGGCUGCCUCUGAAGAUGGUUUGGAAACUUCAGCUAGUGCAGAAUUCAGUGGCCAGGUUGCUCACUGGAGCAAGACAGUCUGAGCCUAUCACACCGAUCCUGGUCCAACCGCACUGGAUACCAAUUAGCUUCCGGGUCCAAUUCAAAGUGCUGGUUUUGACUUAUAAAGCCUUAAACAGCUCCGGACUGCAAUACCUCAAGGACCACCUCUUUUCAUAUGAACCGACCUGGACCCUGAGACCUUCUUCGUGUGUUUCCUCAAGAGGUCCCCCUCUGUGGAAUGCUCUCCCCAGGAAAGUUCGCCUGGCACCCUCAUUAUACACCUUUAGGUGCCGGUCAAAAAUGUUUCUUUUUAACCAGGUCUUUGGUUGAUUUGAUUGACAUCCUAUGCCCUUUUAAAAUGUGGGCGGGAUUUUUGGGUGGGGGUUAUUGGGUUGUUUUAUUUUGAUUAUGUCUUUCGUGGUUUUUUAUUUUGAUUUUAUUCUGUGAAACGCCCUGAGACCUGCUGGUGCAGGGUGGUAUAUAAAUUCAAUCAAUCAAUCAAUUAAUCAAAAUAAUAAAUAGUAACAAUAAUUGUGAAUUAGUUCUGUUCCUAAUAACAGGCAGCCUGUAGUCAAGAGAGGACUGGAAGGGGCUUACUUUUAAUGACGGAGGGAACAUUUCUCUGUCGUUAGAAAGCAUCCUUGCCUGAAACUCUGGAAAGUUGUUUCCAGUUCUAGGCAAGAGCCAAUUCUGCUGUGUGCCUCUGCAAGAGCAAGUGAGCGAUCCAAUCCCCUGUGCGCCACUGAGGGUUUUCUCUCUCCAGAAUUCCAUGAAUCUAGAGAAAGAAAUGGGAGAGCUACCCACUGUUCUGAGAGGCAGCAGGCUGCCUCUUCUGUGGGUACACAGAUUUCCAAUAUUUAUUUCGUGCCGUCCACCUCCAGUGCUCCCCGCAGCACGUUCAGCAGGCAGGGAUGAUGGCACAUCACCACAUUGCAGCCCGAGAUGCAACGGGAUUCCAAUCUGCAUGCUCUGGGAGUGCCUGAAGAGUUCUUGGAAAGAAAAAGGGCCUGUUUGAAAAGGGCCUACCAUUGUCGGAAUCAAGCACUAUGUGUAGGCCGCUCCAAUAGAAAGCAGGCAUUUGCUCAGAAAUUUAAAAGCAUAAACAGAGUGACUUAUGAAGGG